rnacentral:rRNA from 1 species
UUAAGCGACUAAGCGUACACGGUGGAUGCCCUGGCAGUCAGAGGCGAUGAAGGACGUGCUAAUCUGCGAUAAGCGUCGGUAAGGUGAUAUGAACCGUUAUAACCGGCGAUUUCCGAAUGGGGAAACCCAGUGUGUUUCGACACACUAUCAUUAACUGAAUCCAUAGGUUAAUGAGGCGAACCGGGGGAACUGAAACAUCUAAGUACCCCGAGGAAAAGAAAUCAACCGAGAUUCCCCCAGUAGCGGCGAGCGAACGGGGAGCAGCCCAGAGCCUGAAUCAGUGUGUGUGUUAGUGGAAGCGUCUGGAAAGGCGCGCGAUACAGGGUGACAGCCCCGUACACAAAAAUGCACAUAUUGUGAGCUCGAUGAGUAGGGCGGGACACGUGGUAUCCUGUCUGAAUAUGGGGGGACCAUCCUCCAAGGCUAAAUACUCCUGACUGACCGAUAGUGAACCAGUACCGUGAGGGAAAGGCGAAAAGAACCCCGGCGAGGGGAGUGAAAAAGAACCUGAAACCGUGUACGUACAAGCAGUGGGAGCACGCUUAGGCGUGUGACUGCGUACCUUUUGUAUAAUGGGUCAGCGACUUAUAUUCUGUAGCAAGGUUAACCGAAUAGGGGAGCCGAAGGGAAACCGAGUCUUAACUGGGCGUUAAGUUGCAGGGUAUAGACCCGAAACCCGGUGAUCUAGCCAUGGGCAGGUUGAAGGUUGGGUAACACUAACUGGAGGACCGAACCGACUAAUGUUGAAAAAUUAGCGGAUGACUUGUGGCUGGGGGUGAAAGGCCAAUCAAACCGGGAGAUAGCUGGUUCUCCCCGAAAGCUAUUUAGGUAGCGCCUCGUGAAUUCAUCUCCGGGGGUAGAGCACUGUUUCGGCAAGGGGGUCAUCCCGACUUACCAACCCGAUGCAAACUGCGAAUACCGGAGAAUGUUAUCACGGGAGACACACGGCGGGUGCUAACGUCCGUCGUGAAGAGGGAAACAACCCAGACCGCCAGCUAAGGUCCCAAAGUCAUGGUUAAGUGGGAAACGAUGUGGGAAGGCCCAGACAGCCAGGAUGUUGGCUUAGAAGCAGCCAUCAUUUAAAGAAAGCGUAAUAGCUCACUGGUCGAGUCGGCCUGCGCGGAAGAUGUAACGGGGCUAAACCAUGCACCGAAGCUGCGGCAGCGACGCUGAUGCGUUGUUGGGUAGGGGAGCGUUCUGUAAGCCUGUGAAGGUGUGCUGUGAGGCAUGCUGGAGGUAUCAGAAGUGCGAAUGCUGACAUAAGUAACGAUAAAGCGGGUGAAAAGCCCGCUCGCCGGAAGACCAAGGGUUCCUGUCCAACGUUAAUCGGGGCAGGGUGAGUCGACCCCUAAGGCGAGGCCGAAAGGCGUAGUCGAUGGGAAACAGGUUAAUAUUCCUGUACUUGGUGUUACUGCGAAGGGGGGACGGAGAAGGCUAUGUUGGCCGGGCGACGGUUGUCCCGGUUUAAGCGUGUAGGCUGGUUUUCCAGGCAAAUCCGGAAAAUCAAGGCUGAGGCGUGAUGACGAGGCACUACGGUGCUGAAGCAACAAAUGCCCUGCUUCCAGGAAAAGCCUCUAAGCAUCAGGUAACAUCAAAUCGUACCCCAAACCGACACAGGUGGUCAGGUAGAGAAUACCAAGGCGCUUGAGAGAACUCGGGUGAAGGAACUAGGCAAAAUGGUGCCGUAACUUCGGGAGAAGGCACGCUGAUAUGUAGGUGAAGUCCCUUGCGGAUGGAGCUGAAAUCAGUCGAAGAUACCAGCUGGCUGCAACUGUUUAUUAAAAACACAGCACUGUGCAAACACGAAAGUGGACGUAUACGGUGUGACGCCUGCCCGGUGCCGGAAGGUUAAUUGAUGGGGUUAGCGCAAGCGAAGCUCUUGAUCGAAGCCCCGGUAAACGGCGGCCGUAACUAUAACGGUCCUAAGGUAGCGAAAUUCCUUGUCGGGUAAGUUCCGACCUGCACGAAUGGCGUAAUGAUGGCCAGGCUGUCUCCACCCGAGACUCAGUGAAAUUGAACUCGCUGUGAAGAUGCAGUGUACCCGCGGCAAGACGGAAAGACCCCGUGAACCUUUACUAUAGCUUGACACUGAACAUUGAGCCUUGAUGUGUAGGAUAGGUGGGAGGCUUUGAAGUGUGGACGCCAGUCUGCAUGGAGCCGACCUUGAAAUACCACCCUUUAAUGUUUGAUGUUCUAACGUUGACCCGUAAUCCGGGUUGCGGACAGUGUCUGGUGGGUAGUUUGACUGGGGCGGUCUCCUCCUAAAGAGUAACGGAGGAGCACGAAGGUUGGCUAAUCCUGGUCGGACAUCAGGAGGUUAGUGCAAUGGCAUAAGCCAGCUUGACUGCGAGCGUGACGGCGCGAGCAGGUGCGAAAGCAGGUCAUAGUGAUCCGGUGGUUCUGAAUGGAAGGGCCAUCGCUCAACGGAUAAAAGGUACUCCGGGGAUAACAGGCUGAUACCGCCCAAGAGUUCAUAUCGACGGCGGUGUUUGGCACCUCGAUGUCGGCUCAUCACAUCCUGGGGCUGAAGUAGGUCCCAAGGGUAUGGCUGUUCGCCAUUUAAAGUGGUACGCGAGCUGGGUUUAGAACGUCGUGAGACAGUUCGGUCCCUAUCUGCCGUGGGCGCUGGAGAACUGAGGGGGGCUGCUCCUAGUACGAGAGGACCGGAGUGGACGCAUCACUGGUGUUCGGGUUGUCAUGCCAAUGGCACUGCCCGGUAGCUAAAUGCGGAAGAGAUAAGUGCUGAAAGCAUCUAAGCACGAAACUUGCCCCGAGAUGAGUUCUCCCUGACCCCUUAAGAGUCCUGAAGGAACGUUGAAGACGACGACGUUGAUAGGCCGGGUGUGUAAGCGCAGCGAUGCGUUGAGCUAACCGGUACUAAUGAACCGUGAGGCUUAACCUU